AACGUAGGGGACAAGCGUUAUCCGGAUUUACUGGGCGUAAAGCGCCCGUAGGCGGCCUGACAAGUUGGACGUGAAAGCUCCUGGCUUAACUGGGAGAGGCCGUUCAAAAACUGUCAAGCUAGAGUCUGGAAGAGGAGAGCGGAAUUCCCGGUGUAGUGGUGGAAUGCGUAGAGAUCGGGAGGAACACCAGUGGCGAAAGCGGCUCUCUGAUCCAAAACUGACGCUGAGGGGCGAAAGCGUGGGGAG
rnacentral:rRNA from 1 species